GGCCUAACACAUGCAAGUCGAGCGGAAACGACACUAACAAUCCUUCGGGUGCGUUAAUGGGCGUCGAGCGGCGGACGGGUGAGUAAUGCCUAGGAAAUUGCCUUGAUGUGGGGGAUAACCAUUGGAAACGAUGGCUAAUACCGCAUAAUGCCUACGGGCCAAAGAGGGGGACCUUCGGGCCUCUCGCGUCAAGAUAUGCCUAGGUGGGAUUAGCUAGUUGGUGAGGUAAUGGCUCACCAAGGCGACGAUCCCUAGCUGGUCUGAGAGGAUGAUCAGCCACACUGGAACUGAGACACGGUCCAGACUCCUACGGGAGGCAGCAGUGGGGAAUAUUGCACAAUGGGCGAAAGCCUGAUGCAGCCAUGCCGCGUGUAUGAAGAAGGCCUUCGGGUUGUAAAGUACUUUCAGUUGUGAGGAAGGGGGUAGCGUUAAUAGCGCUAUCUCUUGACGUUAGCAACAGAAGAAGCACCGGCUAACUCCGUGCCAGCAGCCGCGGUAAUACGGAGGGUGCGAGCGUUAAUCGGAAUUACUGGGCGUAAAGCGCAUGCAGGUGGUUCAUUAAGUCAGAUGUGAAAGCCCGGGGCUCAACCUCGGAACUGCAUUUGAAACUGGUGAACUAGAGUACUGUAGAGGGGGGUAGAAUUUCAGGUGUAGCGGUGAAAUGCGUAGAGAUCUGAAGGAAUACCAGUGGCGAAGGCGGCCCCCUGGACAGAUACUGACACUCAGAUGCGAAAGCGUGGGGAGCGAACAGGAUUAGA
rnacentral:rRNA from 1 species